GUUGAAAAAAUGAAUGGAAGUAUAUAAGGAGACUGUUUAGUGCCAAAACAAUAAGGGGUUAAAUAUAUGUUUUAAAAAAUGAAGAAUAGUAAUAAUGUUUCCUGUUUCUUAUAUCUCACAGAUAUAUGACAGACACUUCAGAACAAACUUCCUUUUGAUUUUUGGGUGGACUAUCUGUUGUUCCAUGUAGUAAAUCUGUUAUUCAAUGUGUUUGUAAGGGCUAAUAGCCCUUAGACUCAUGGGUUAAAGGGUUGUGUUUGUUCACUGAGCUAACAUGUCUACAUGUGCAUUGUUAUCAGGAGUUAUGUAGAGGUGUUAUGAGGAGUUAUGUAGAGGUGUUAUGAGGAGUUAUGUAGAGGUGUUAUGAGGAGUUAUGUAGAGGUGUUAUGAGGAGUUAUGUAGAGGUGUUAUCAGGAGUUAUGUAGAGGUGUUAUCAGGAGUUAUGUAGAGGUGUUAUGAGGAGUUAUGUAGAGGUGUUAUGAGGAGUUAUGUAGAGGUGUUAUGAGGAGUUAUGUAGAGGUGUUAUGAGGAGUUAUGUAGAGGUGUUAUCAGGAGUUAUGUAGAGGUGUUAUGAGGAGUUAUGUAGAGGUGUUAUCAGGAGUUAUGUAGAGGUGUUAUGAGGAGUUAUGUAGAGGUGUUAUGAGGAGUUAUGUAGAGGUGUUAUGAGGAGUUAUGUAGAGGUGUUAUGAGGAGUUAUGUAGAGGUGUUAUCAGGAGUUAUGUAGAGGUGUUAUCAGGAGUUAUGUAGAGGUGUUAUGAGGAGUUAUGUAGAGGUGUUAUCAGGAGUUAUGUAGAGGUGUUAUGAGGAGUUAUGUAGAGGUGUUAUCAGGAGUUAUGUAGAGGUGUUAUCAGGAGUUAUGUAGAGGUGUUAUGAGGAGUUAUGUAGAGGUGUUAUCAGGAGUUAUGUAGAGGUGUUAUCAGGAGUUAUGUAGAGGUGUUAUGAGGAGUUAUGUAGAGGUGUUAUCAGGAGUUAUGUAGAGGUGUUAUGAGGAGUUAUGUAGAGGUGUUAUCAGGAGUUAUGUAGAGGUGUUAUGAGGAGUUAUGUAGAGGUGUUAUCAGGAGUUAUGUAGAGGUGUUAUGAGGAGUUAUGUAGAGGUGUUAUCAGGAGUUAUGUAGAGGUGUUAUGAGGAGUUAUGUAGAGGUGUUAUGAGGAGUUAUGUAGAGGUGUUAUGAGGAGUUAUGUAGAGGUGUUAUGAGGAGUUAUGUAGAGGUGUUAUCAGGAGUUAUGUAGAGGUGUUAUGAGGAGUUAUGUAGAGGUGUUAUGAGGAGUUAUGUAGAGGUGUUAUGAGGAGUUAAGUAGAGGUGUUAUGAGGAGUUAUGUAGAGGUGUUAUGAGGAGUUAUGUAGAGGUGUUAUCAGGAGUUAUGUAGAGGUGUUAUGAGGAGUUAUGUAGAGGUGUUAUCAGGAGUUAUGUAGAGGUGUUAUGAGGAGUUAUGUAGAGGUGUUAUGAGGAGUUAUGUAGAGGUGUUAUGAGGAGUUAUGUAGAGGUGUUAUGAGGAGUUAUGUAGAGGUGUUAUCAGGAGUUAUGUAGAGGUGUUAUCAGGAGUUAUGUAGAGGUGUUAUCAGGAGUUAUGUAGAGGUGUUAUGAGGAGUUAUGUAGAGGUGUUAUCAGGAGUUAUGUAGAGGUGUUAUCAGGAGUUAUGUAGAGGUGUUAUGAGGAGUUAUGUAGAGGUGUUAUCAGGAGUUAUGUAGAGGUGUUAUGUAGAGGUGUUAUCAGGAGUUAUGUAGAGGUGUUAUGAGGAGUUAUGUAGAGGUGUUAUCAGGAGUUAUGUAGAGGUGUUAUGUAGAGGUGUUAUCAGGAGUUAUGUAGAGGUGUUAUGUAGAGGUGUUAUGAGGAGUUAUGUAGAGGUGUUAUCAGGAGUUAUGUAGAGGUGUUAUCAGGAGUUAUGUAGAGGUGUUAUGAGGAGUUAUGUAGAGGUGUUAUGAGGAGUUAUGUAGAGGUGUUAUCAGGAGUUAUGUAGAGGUGUUAUCAGGAGUUAUGUAGAGGUGUUAUGUAGAGGUGUUAUCAGGAGUUAUGUAGAGGUGUUAUGAGGAGUUAUGUAGAGGUGUUAUCAGGAGUUAUGUAGAGGUGUUAUCAGGAGUUAUGUAGAGGUGUUAUGAGGAGUUAUGUAGAGGUGUUAUCAGGAGAUAUGUAGAGGUGUUAUCAGGAGUUAUGUAGAGGUGUUAUCAGGAGUUAUGUAGAGGUGUUAUCAGGAGUUAUGUAGAGGUGUUAUCAGGAGUUAUGUAGAGGUGUUAUCAGGAGUUAUGUAGAGGUGUUAUCAGGAGUUAUGUAGAGGUGUUAUGAGGAGUUAUGUAGAGGUGUUAUGUAGAGGUGUUAUCAGGAGUUAUGUAGAGGUGUUAUGAGGAGUUAUGUAGAGGUGUUAUGUAGAGGUGUUAUCAGGAGUUAUGUAGAGGUGUUAUGAGGAGUUAUGUAGAGGAGUUAUGUAGAGGUGUUAUCAGGAGUUAUGUAGAGGUGUUAUCAGGAGUUAUGUAGAGGUGUUAUGUAGAGGUGUUAUCAGGAGUUAUGUAGAGGUGUUAUGAGGAGUUAUGUAGAGGUGUUAUCAGGAGUUAUGUAGAGGUGUUAUGUAGAGGUGUUAUCAGGAGUUAUGUAGAGGUGUUAUGAGGAGUUAUGUAGAGGUGUUAUCAGGAGUUAUGUAGAGGUGUUAUCAGGAGUUAUGUAGAGGUGUUAUGAGGAGUUAUGUAGAGGUGUUAUGAGGAGUUAUGUAGAGGUGUUAUGAGGAGUUAUGUAGAGGUGUUAUCAGGAGUUAUGUAGAGGUGUUAUCAGGAGUUAUGUAGAGGUGUUAUGUAGAGGUGUUAUCAGGAGUUAUGUAGAGGUGUUAUGAGGAGUUAUGUAGAGGUGUUAUCAGGAGUUAUGUAGAGGUGUUAUCAGGAGUUAUGUAGAGGUGUUAUGAGGAGUUAUGUAGAGGUGUUAUCAGGAGUUAUGUAGAGGUGUUAUCAGGAGUUAUGUAGAGGUGUUAUCAGGAGUUAUGUAGAGGUGUUAUCAGGAGUUAUGUAGAGGUGUUAUCAGGAGUUAUGUAGAGGUGUUAUCAGGAGUUAUGUAGAGGUGUUAUCAGGAGUUAUGUAGAGGUGUUAUGAGGAGUUAUGUAGAGGUGUUAUGUAGAGGUGUUAUCAGGAGUUAUGUAGAGGUGUUAUGAGGAGUUAUGUAGAGGUGUUAUGUAGAGGUGUUAUCAGGAGUUAUGUAGAGGUGUUAUGAGGAGUUAUGUAGAGGAGUUAUGUAGAGGUGUUAUCAGGAGUUAUGUAGAGGUGUUAUCAGGAGUUAUGUAGAGGUGUUAUGUAGAGGUGUUAUCAGGAGUUAUGUAGAGGUGUUAUCAGGAGUUAUGUAGAGGUGUUAUGAGGAGUUAUGUAGAGGUGUUAUCAGGAGUUAUGUAGAGGUGUUAUGUAGAGGUGUUAUCAGGAGUUAUGUAGAGGUGUUAUGUAGAGGUGUUAUCAGGAGUUAUGUAGAGGUGUUAUGAGGAGUUAUGUAGAGGUGUUAUCAGGAGUUAUGUAGAGGUGUUAUCAGGAGUUAUGUAGAGGUGUUAUGAGGAGUUAUGUAGAGGUGUUAUCAGGAGUUAUGUAGAGGUGUUAUCAGGAGUUAUGUAGAGGUGUUAUCAGGAGUUAUGUAGAGGUGUUAUCAGGAGUUAUGUAGAGGUGUUAUCAGGAGUUAUGUAGAGGUGUUAUCAGGAGUUAUGUAGAGGUGUUAUGAGGAGUUAUGUAGAGGUGUUAUCAGGAGUUAUGUAGAGGUGUUAUCAGGAGUUAUGUAGAGGUGUUAUCAGGAGUUAUGUAGAGGUGUUAUCAGGAGUUAUGUAGAGGUGUUAUGAGGAGUUAUGUAGAGGUGUUAUGUAGAGGUGUUAUCAGGAGUUAUGUAGAGGUGUUAUGAGGAGUUAUGUAGAGGUGUUAUGUAGAGGUGUUAUCAGGAGUUAUGUAGAGGUGUUAUGAGGAGUUAUGUAGAGGUGUUAUGUAGAGGUGUUAUCAGGAGUUAUGUAGAGGUGUUAUGAGGAGUUAUGUAGAGGUGUUAUGUAGAGGUGUUAUCAGGAGUUAUGUAGAGGUGUUAUGAGGAGUUAUGUAGAGGAGUUAUGUAGAGGUGUUAUCAGGAGUUAUGUAGAGGUGUUAUGUAGAGGUGUUAUCAGGAGUUAUGUAGAGGUGUUAUGAGGAGUUAUGUAGAGGUGUUAUCAGGAGUUAUGUAGAGGUGUUAUCAGGAGUUAUGUAGAGGUGUUAUGAGGAGUUAUGUAGAGGUGUUAUCAGGAGUUAUGUAGAGGUGUUAUCAGGAGUUAUGUAGAGGUGUUAUCAGGAGUUAUGUAGAGGUGUUAUCAGGAGUUAUGUAGAGGUGUUAUCAGGAGUUAUGUAGAGGUGUUAUCAGGAGUUAUGUAGAGGUGUUAUGAGGAGUUAUGUAGAGGUGUUAUGUAGAGGUGUUAUCAGGAGUUAUGUAGAGGUGUUAUCAGGAGUUAUGUAGAGGUGUUAUCAGGAGUUAUGUAGAGGUGUUAUCAGGAGUUAUGUAGAGGUGUUAUGAGUAGUUAUGUAGAGGUGUUAUGUAGAGGUGUUAUCAGGACUUAUGUAGAGGUGUUAUGAGGAGUUAUGUAGAGGUGUUAUGUAGAGGUGUUAUCAGGAGUUAUGUAGAGGUGUUAUGAGGAGUUAUGUAGAGGAGUUAUGUAGAGGUGUUAUCAGGAGUUAUGUAGAGGUGUUAUGAGGAGUUAUGUAGAGGUGUUAUCAGGAGUUAUGUAGAGGUGUUAUCAGGAGUUAUGUAGAGGUGUUAUGAGGAGUUAUGUAGAGGUGUUAUGUAGAGGUGUUAUCAGGAGUUAUGUAGAGGUGUUAUGAGGAGUUAUGUAGAGGAGUUAUGUAGAGGUGUUAUCAGGAGUUAUGUAGAGGUGUUAUCAGGAGUUAUGUAGAGGUGUUAUGUAGAGGUGUUAUCAGGAGUUAUGUAGAGGUGUUAUGAGGAGUUAUGUAGAGGUGUUAUCAGGAGUUAUGUAGAGGUGUUAUCAGGAGUUAUGUAGAGGUGUUAUCAGGAGUUAUGUAGAGGUGUUAUCAGGAGUUAUGUAGAGGUGUUAUCAGGAGUUAUGUAGAGGUGUUAUGAGGAGUUAUGUAGAGGUGUUAUGUAGAGGUGUUAUCAGGAGUUAUGUAGAGGUGUUAUCAGGAGUUAUGUAGAGGUGUUAUCAGGAGUUAUGUAGAGGUGUUAUCAGGAGUUAUGUAGAGGUGUUAUGAGGAGUUAUGUAGAGGUGUUAUGUAGAGGUGUUAUCAGGAGUUAUGUAGAGGUGUUAUGAGGAGUUAUGUAGAGGUGUUAUGUAGAGGUGUUAUCAGGAGUUAUCUAGAGGUGUUAUGAGGAGUUAUGUAGAGGAGUUAUGUAGAGGUGUUAUCAGGAGUUAUGUAGAGGUGUUAUGAGGAGUUAUGUAGAGGUGUUAUGUAGAGGUGUUAUCAUGAGUUAUGUAGAGGUGUUAUCAGGAGUUAUGUAGAGGUGUUAUCAGGAGUUAUGUAGAGGUGUUAUGAGAAGUUAUGUAGAGGUGUUAUGUAGAGGUGUUAUCAGGAGUUAUCUAGAGGUGUUAUGAGGAGUUAUGUAGAGGAGUUAUGUAGAGGUGUUAUCAGGAGUUAUGUAGAGGUGUUAUCAGGAGUUAUGUAGAGGUGUUAUGAGAAGUUAUGUAGAGGUGUUAUGUAGAGGUGUUAUCAGGAGUUAUCUAGAGGUGUUAUGAGGAGUUAUGUAGAGGAGUUAUGUAGAGGUGUUAUCAGGAGUUAUGUAGAGGUGUUAUGAGGAGUUAUGUAGAGGUGUUAUGUAGAGGUGUUAUCAGGAGUUAUGUAGAGGUGUUAUCAGGAGUUAUGUAGAGGUGUUAUCAGGAGUUAUGUAGAGGUGUUAUCAGGAGUUAUGUAGAGGUGUUAUGUAGAGGUGUUAUCAGGAGUUAUGUAGAGGUGUUAUGAGGAGUUAUGUAGAGGUGUUAUCAGGAGUUAUGUAGAGGUGUUAUCAGGAGUUAUGUAGAGGUGUUAUCAGGAGUUAUGUAGAGGUGUUAUCAGGAGUUAUGUAGAGGUGUUAUCAGGAGUUAUGUAGAGGUGUUAUCAG